rnacentral:rRNA from 1 species
AUUGAACGCUGGCGGCAGGCCUAACACAUGCAAGUCGAGCGAGCGGCGGACGGGGGAGUAAUGUCUGGGAAACUGCCGGAUGGAGAGGGAUAACUACUGGAAACGGUAGCUAAUACCGCAUACCAUACGAUGUGCGCAGAUGGGGUUAGCUAGUAGGUGGGGUAACGGCCCACCUAGGCGACGAUCCCUAGCUGGUCUGAGAGGAUGACCAGCCACACUGGAACUGAGACACGGUCCAGACUCCUACGGGAGGCAGCAGUGGGGAAUAUUGCACAAUGGGCGCAAGCCUGAUGCAGCCAUGCCGCGUGUGUGAAGAAGGCCUUCGGGUUGUAAAGCACUUUUAGCGGGGAGGCGUUACCCGCAGAAGAAGCAACGGCUAACUCCGUGCCAGCAGCCGCGGUAAUAC